GGGAGCGGUUGGGCUCUGGUGGGCCUCCUGGACUUCAAAUCCAGUGUGGGGUGAACUCCCCGGGUAGGUUCGAUUCCUAUGCGCUCCCGCCA
rnacentral:tRNA from 3 species